rnacentral:lncRNA from 12 species
ACCCCCUGGGGACUCUCUGAGGACCCUUUGGGGACCUUGGGGACCCUUUGGAGACCCUUUGGGGACCUUGGGGACCCCCUGGGGACCCUGUGGGGGCGCCCUGGGGACCCUGUGCCCCCCCAGCUCCAAGCCCCGUCCCCCAGGCACAAUCCUGAGUUUUCACUCUCAGCCUUUGCCUUUUGCUCCCAUUUUUCCCAGGGAGCUCUGAGCCCUGACCCCGUGCACUGCAGGACAGGCAGACACAUCCCAGCUGUCUGUCUGUCUGUCUGUCUGUCUGUCUGUCUGUCUGUCUGUCUGUGUGUCCAGGGGCUGGCCUGGCAGGAAAAGGCUGGAAUGGGGAGCUGGGAUUUGGGAAUUGUGGGGCUGCGAUUUGAGAAUUGUGGCUCUGGUGGCUCUGGGGUGGCUCUGGGACACUCCAGGGUGGCUCUGGGUGGCUCUGGUGGCUCUGGGACACUCCAGGGUGGCUCUGGGAUAGCACUGGGGUGGCCCUGGUGGCACUGGGAUGGCUCUGGAAUGGCUUUAGAAUGUUCCAGGGCAGCCCUGAGUGGCUCUGGGGUGGCUCUGGGACACUCCAGGGUGGCUCUGGUGGCUCUGGGAUGCUCACUGGGGUGGCCCUGGUGGCUCUGGGAUGGCCCUGGUGGCUCUGGGAUGUUCACUGAGGUGGCCCUGGUGGCACUGGGACACUCCAGGGUGGCUCUGGGAUGGCUCUGAGGUGGCUCUGGUGGCUCUGGGAUGUUCACUGGGAUGGCUCUGGGGUGGCCCUGGGAUGGCUCUGAGGUGGCUCUGGUGGCUCUGGGAUGUUCACUGGGAUGGCUCUGGGGUGGCCCUGGGAUGGUUCUGGUGGCCUUGGUGGCUCUGGGAUGUUCACUGGGGUGGCUCUGGGUUGCCCUGGUGGCCCUGGGAUGGCUCUGGGACACUCCAGGGUGGCUCUGGGUUGCCCUGGUGGCCCUGGUGGCUCUGGGAUGGCUCUGGCACGCUCCAGGGUGGCCCUGGGGUGGCUCUGGGACGCUCCAGGGUGGCCCUGGGGUGGCUGUCCCCCCUGUCCCUGUGCCACAUUCCUGGGCCCUGAGCUCAAGGGCUGUUUUUGGAUGGCAGAGCCCAGCCCUGGCACAGCACUGGCACAGCUGCUGCCGGGGGCUCAGCCUGCCCCCGUCCCCCGGGCGUGUUUGGGGUGACCCUGCUCUGGGGAGGC